rnacentral:ncRNA from 1 species
AAAAACGCAGCGACGGAGAAAGUACACACAAGGCGUCCGGCAAAGAGAGGCGCUUCACCGGCUGAAAGGGUGCCCAAGUGGGGCCUGUGUGGAAGUUCGCUCCUGAGCGGCCCGCGUGAACGGCUUUUCCGAAAGCCUUUUAGUGCGGGACGGCACGCCCCGUUACGGCGUUUGAGCGCCGCUCUUUUGAGGGAGCGGAAACCGGGUGGUACCGCGGAGUAAAUGUUACAGCUUCGUCCCCUUU